rnacentral:rRNA from 1 species
AACGAACGCUGGCGGCAUGCCUAACACAUGCAAGUCGAACGAUGGUCUUCGGAUCAUAGUGGCGCACGGGUGCGUAACGCGUGGGAAUCUGCCCUUGGGUUCGGAAUAACAGUUGGAAACGACUGCUAAUACCGGAUGAUGUCGAUAAGACCAAAGAUUUAUCGCCCGAGGAUGAGCCCGCGUCGGAUUAGCUAGUUGGUGGGGUAAAGGCCUACCAAGGCGACGAUCCGUAGCUGGUCUGAGAGGAUGAUCAGCCACACUGGGACUGAGACACGGCCCAGACUUCCUCCGGAGGCAGCCAUGGGGAAUUUUUGACAAUUGGCCCAAGCCUGAUCCAGCAAUGCCGCGUGAGUGAUGAAGGCCUUAGGGUUGUAAAGCUCUUUUACCCGGGAAGAUAAUGACUGUACCGGGAGAAUAAGCCCCGGCUAACUCCGUG